UGCCUCAGUAACGGCGAGUGAAGCGGCAACAGCUCAAAUUUGAAAUCUGGCCUCUUUGGGGUCCGAGUUGUAAUUUGUAGAGGAUGUUUCGGGUACCGCCUCGGUCUAAAUUUCUUGGAACAGAAUGUCAGAGAGGGUGAGAAUCCCGUCUUGGACCGGCGGUAGGGCCCAUGUGAAACUCCUUCGACGAGUCGAGUUGUUUGGGAAUGCAGCUCAAAAUGGGUGGUAUAUUUCAUCUAAAGCUAAAUAUUGGCCAGAGACCGAUAGCGCACAAGUAGAGUGAUCGAAAGAUGAAAAGAACUUUGAAAAGAGAGUUAAACAGUAUGUGAAAUUGUUGAAAGGGAAGCGCUUGCAACCAGACUUGAGCGCGGCGGUUCCCCCUUCCUUUUGGUUGGGUUACUCCGUCGUGUCCAGGCCAACAUCGGUUCUGGGGGUCGGUUAAAGGCUUGGGGAAUGUACCUACGUCUUCGGGCGUAGACUUAUAGCCCCGAGUGUCAUGCGACCUCCCGGGACCGAGGAACGCGCUUCGGCUCGGAUGU
rnacentral:rRNA from 1 species